UACAGAGGGUGCGAGCGUUGUCCGGAAUUACUGGGCGUAAAGGGCGCGUAGGCGGCCCGAUAAGUAGGACGUGAAAUUCCGCGGCUCAACCGCGGAACUGCGUUCUAGACUGUCGGGCUUGAGCACGGUAGAGGCAGAUGGAAUUCCCGGUGUAGCGGUGGAAUGCGUAGAUAUCGGAAGGAACAUCAGUGGCGAAAGCGGCUUCCUGGACCAGCACCGACGUUCAGGCACGAAAGCGUGGGGAGCAAACAGG
rnacentral:rRNA from 1 species